UGAAGAACGUCUAAUAACCGUCUGAUUUUCGCUCUUUCUCCUGUAUGACUGAGCCACACACAACCUUCUCUUCGACAAGGAAAUUUAACAAGUAUGAAGAGUCCUCCCUCCUCUGCCAGUGUUUCAGUAUAUCUCAGGUACCUUUAUAUCUUCACUUUACUAUCAUAAAUAUACGUGCA
rnacentral:lncRNA from 1 species